rnacentral:rRNA from 1 species
CGGUGGGGAACAACAGCCGGAAACGGCUGCUAAUACCGCAUAAUGCAGCGGCUCCUCAUGGAGACAGUUGUUAAAGCGGGGAUCGCAAGACCUCGCGCCUGAAGAGAAGCCCGCGGCAGAUUAGCUAGUUGGUAAGGUAAUGGCUUACCAAGGCGACGAUCUAUAACCGGCCUGAGAGGGCGGUCGGUCACACUGACACUGACAUACGGGUCAG